CACCAUGUUUCCAAGGGCUUUGGCUUGAUUAUAGUCAUGGGAUUUCCAACUAUAUCACAGAGUAACACGGAGACACUCCGAAAGCUCAGGUCAGCACGGUGUUUGCAGCUGCUACUCAUCUUAGAGAA